GACGAACGCUGGCGGCGUGCUUAACACAUGCAAGUCGAACGGAAAGGCCUCUUUCGGGGGGUACUCGAGUGGCGAACGGGUGAGUAACACGUGAGUAACCUGCCCUUGACUUUGUGAUAACUUCAGGAAACUGGGGCUAAUACCGGAUAGGAGCUCCUGCUGCCUGGUGGGGGUUGGAAAGUUUCGGCGGUUGGGGAUGGACUCGCGGCUUAUCAGCUUGUUGGUGGGGUAGUGGCUUACCAAGGCUUUGACGGGUAGCCGGCCUGGGAGGGUGACCGGCCACAUUGGGACUGAGAUACGGCCCAGACUCCUACGGGAGGCAGCAGUGGGGAAUAUUGCACAAUGGGUGGAAGCCUGAUGCAGCAACGCCGUGUGCGGGAUGACGGCCUUCGGGUUGUAAACCGCUUUCGCUCAUGACGAAGCUUUGUGUGACGGUAGUGGGUAAAGAAGCACCGGCUAACUACGUG
rnacentral:rRNA from 1 species